rnacentral:rRNA from 1 species
AUGAAGAAAUUUCCCCUCUUCUUUUGUCGCCACAAACAACUUCCCUUCUCAUUAAUUUCUGCUCUUAUAAUAUCCCUAUGUACAGUACAGAAACAGAGUCUAGCUACUACAGUACUCAACAUGUCUCUAGACGCGCCUGACCCUCACCGGGAGCCCGCCGCUGAUGGACGCCGUCAGACCAGGCGCGAACCUGGGCACGGCGCCCUUUUGCCCAACCACCUCCACGUCGAACUGUUUCACCACGGCAACGCUCACCGCCUUCAUCUCCAUCACGGCGAGCUCCUUGCCGAGGCACACGCGGAGCCCAGCCUGGAACACCGGGUACCUGUACAGGCUCUCCGGCAUGAACGUCCCGCCAGGACCCGUCAGCCACCGCUCCGGCCGGAACUUCUCGCAGUCGUCGCCCCAAAUGCGGGGCAUGCGCCCCAUGGCGUAGGGGUGGUACAUCACGCGCGCGCCGGCAGUCACGUACGUGCCGUCCGGGAGCACGUCGUCGGCGGCGCAGAACUUGGAGUCGAACUGCACCGGCGGGAACAGCCGCAUGUUCUCGUGCAGCACCGCGUGUGUGUAGUGGAGGGACUUGAGGUGCUCGUACGUGGUCUUCGACGCUGUCCUUGUCUUCUCGCCGCCGGCGGCCUCCGCGCGCAUGGCGGCCGCCACCGCGGGGUUCUUGGAGAGCAGCAUGAAGAUGGUGGUGAGCGCGGAGGACACCGUGUCGCGUCCGGCGAGGAGGAAGCUGACCACGAUGUCGCGGAGGUACUUGUCGUCGACGGCGGUGCCGUGCGCCUCCGAGGCCAUGAACCGGGACAGGAGGUCGUGGCUCCCGGCGACGCCCAGCUUCCGGCGCUGCCUUAUCAUGGCCGCCGCGAGCUCGUCGACGAGGCGGAUGGACUUCCUGAGCUCCCUCUCGGAGCCGACGUUCAGCAGCCGCUUUACCCUCCACACCAGGGGCGACGCCGCCGCGCCGCGCAUGGCGGAUAG